rnacentral:rRNA from 1 species
GAUGAACGCUGGCGGCGUGCCUAAUACAUGCAAGUCGAGCGCAGCGGGGACGGGUGAGUAACACGUGGAUAACCUACUAUAAGCCUGGGAUAACUUCGGGAAACCGAGGCUAAACCUGCUACUUAUAGAGGGAUACGAGCGGCAGUAGCUAGUUGGUAAGGUAACGGCUUAGCAAGGCACCGGUCCAUAGCCGACCUGAGAGGAUGAUCGGCAACACUGGAACGUAGACACGGUCCAGACUCCUACGGGAGGCAGCAGUAGGGAAUUGUCCGCAAUGGGCGAAAGCCUGACGUAGCAACGCCGCGUGAGUGAUGAAGGUCUUCGGAUCGUAAAACUCUGUUAUUAGGGAAGCGGUACCUAAACAGAAAGCAACGGCUAACUACGUGCCAGCAGCCGCGGUAAUAC